AUUUGAUCAUGUAAUGUUUUCAUCUACCCUCAACUGGCUUAAGGAGCCAUUUGAAGAUAGAUGAAAACAUUACAUGAUCAAAUAAUGUAGGUUAAAAUCAGGUCGUUCAGUGACAGAUCAAGGUGGUUUUGUAUUUGGUGGGUUAACCAAUAAAUGUUAUAACUACCCGAAAAUGUACAAAUUGUUUGUUUA